rnacentral:lncRNA from 1 species
CUUUAAGGAACUUAUAAGUAAUGACUGACCUGGAUGAAUAUACCAAAACAUAGACAUCCAAUGAGUGUGACUCCUUUAAAGCAGACAUAAACCUGUGUUCAUUUUUUUGUCUCCUAGUAAUAUGACAUCAUUGCUUGAAAUUGUUUUUGAGUUGUACUUCACAAAGAGUAACAUAUUAUCAAUAUGAAUAAUCAUGGAAAAUUGUCAUCUUUUGAAAAUCAACAUAUAUACCCACUCCCCCCCCCCAAACACACACAUUAGAAAUAGUCCACAGCUACUUGGAAUAAGUUUCAAAAUAAAGGAAGGUAGCAAGCUAGGCAAUGGAAACCAUUUUCUUACAUGCUGUGCCCUGGCUCUGUAGGUCAUUACAAGAAGGUCUACCAAAAAUAUUUUUAUGAUGGCACUUUCAAAUAUGUAUAUAUUCUCUCAAGAGGGCAAUUUUAAUAGUUAAAACUUAUUUGAAUGCUUAAGUUCUGUUAUAUUUAUUAAAAAUAAGCUUUGUUUUUAUAGCUAUGUCCUAUUAUUCCCUUUUCAAUGAAGAAUAAAAAUAAAUUUAAGCAGUUGCCAUAUUUAGCAUUUUCCGGGACUAAGGAAACCAAUAUUGAAUCCUUGAUAAAUAUUUUAUGAUGUCACCAGAUAUAGGAAAUUAGAAUUGGCAUAACGCUGACAUUACUAAAUGAGGUUUUUAAGAUUUUUUUGGAAUCACAUUUUGCAGUUGCUAAAAUUUAAUAAUUUGUAUUAAAUGACUAAUUAUAAUCUUCUUUUAUCGAUAUGAAUUCUGGAGGCCAACACCAUUAACUAUUAAAGCUUUUAAUUCCUAAAAAUGAAGUUUUAGAGAAAGACAUUUAAAUAGCAUUCUCCAAUAUCCAGGUGCAAAUGUGGGCAAGUCCACCCGUCUGUUUAAAAAUGAUUUCCUGGGGCGCCUGGGUGGCUCAGUCGGUUGAGCGGCCGACUUCGGCUCAGGUCAUGAUCUCAUGGUCCGUGAGUUCGAGCCCCGCAUCGGGCUCUGUGCUGAUGGCUCAGAGCCUGGAGCUUGCUUAGGAUUCUGUGUCUCCCUCUCUCUGACCCUCCCCCGUUCAUGCUUUGUCUCUCUCUGUCUCAAAAAUAAAUAAACGUUAAAAAAAAAUUAAAAAAAAAAUGAUUUCCUUAUAUUGACUUAUGUUCAGCAUGUUUCAGCAAUGUUUCUCAUAAGGAGAACUUGAAAUAGCAAGUUGCCACCCAGUUAACUGGAUCAGCCACAUGGUGACCCUAAUCCCUUGGUACCACAGCUAAAAACUCAAAAUUCUUUGCUUCUUGAAUAGGUGCUUAUCCUUUGUUGGCCUAGCAAGGGAAGUAAUUGUAUUAGCAAGCAGCUAAUUUGUUUGUAUCCAGUGUCUUCCUUGUUGUUGUCAUAAAUAAUUAAUUAAAAAAUCAUCUUGUGUUUCUUUUUUGUCAUUAAUCUUGGUGAUAUUUAGGAUUAUCUAUUUCCCUCCAAGGAGUAUCAUAUUUUCAAAUUUCCAAG